rnacentral:tRNA from 1 species
GCUUUAAUAGCUAAUUUUAAGUUAUGGAUUCUUAAUCCAUGGAUACAUUUUAUAAUGUUUAAAGCA